UCCAAAGUGUGCCAUGAAAAUUUCUUCGCCGCGGUCACGAGCAAAGUUUCCCAAGCAGGUCCUCGGAAAACAACCAGAACCAGGUGCGUGCCGGAACCAGGGUUUAAUCCGUCGGUUCCCCACACGAUUGUGUUGAAGUUUUUGUUUUGAUAUGUUCCGAAAUUGAAUGCCGGAUUUGAACAUCUCAUGGCUUGACCAACGUCUGCUAAAUGGGAACCACCCAACCAACCCAGAAUGCGCGGAGUGCACCGGUUCCACGGAUUGCUCAGAACUUGAGUCGGUUCUGUUGAUAGCAAUGACCGAAGGUGUUUUAUCCUUUCAAGUCGAAGUCACGGAAUUCAAGAUCCGCCAGUUACAAACCGGGAAAAUGGCCAUGGAACCGCUUUUACGAAAAAACGCUUUUCCUUUUCGUCAGAUUGGUGACCAGAUUCACCUUGAGAUCGGAAACGGCCACUCGACCGGACCGGACAGAAACCGUGGAACGUUUUUGCUUAAUGGCAGAUUCCGGAAGAAGAAUUCGUUUAUUGAAGUGUAUUUACUGUAAAUUGAUGAAUAAAACUAGUUUUUUUGGCUGUUUUUUUAUUGCGGUAAAAAAAUACAAAAUAG